rnacentral:lncRNA from 1 species
GAGAAAAAAAAAAAGAACGAAAGAAACGAAGAGGAGAGAGAAAGAAGAAAGAGAAAUAGUAAUAAGGGUAUUUUGGUUAGUUUGCUGAAAAAACGGACCGAAUCUGCAAAAACGAAAAAGGUGGCCCAAUUUUGCAAAAGCCCAAAAUAAGUGGAUUUUUUAUGUAAAUUGGCCUAAAUUUUAUGUAUUAUUAAUAAGGUUUAUUAUUAAUAUAUGAAUAUAUUUAAUCUAUAUAUAAAAAUUAUAAUAAUAAUAUAUAUAGUAUAUUAAUUAUUAUAUAUUUAUUAUAUAGCCAAAUUUUUGAUUCCGAAUUUUUAAUUGGUGAACGUAUAAUAUCCGUAUAAAUCACGUAUCCGAAUAAUUACCGAAUCCAUUUUUUAACCGUAUUUUUUAACGAAUUUAAAAAUUAAAAGACGAAUUUUAUCCGAAUUAUAUCCGUACCGAAUUUUUGUCGAAUCCGAAUUAACUAACUAU